GUCUAACGAGGUGAGGGAGAAGAGGAGACCACAAAGGGGGUGGCGGGCAAAACUAAGAAACACAAAGAGAAACAACUUGGCCGAGGCCCGAGGCCCUUUUACGAAGAAACCGGUUCUACGGAACCGGAGCGGAGACAAUUUGGGUCAGGAUGCACAAACGCUAUUUUAGUAACUCUAAAACAGGGCGUUUGGUGGGGACUUCGGCUAUAGGAACUGGUCCCAUACUUGGGAGACUGAUGGUGACGGCCAAAAGUUAGCACUUAGGUAGUUAAAUACAACAGAAAAGACAUGUCGUGAGAAAGUAGAAUGCGGGAGAAGUCCGAACUCCGCGGAAGGCGGCAGCUGCGCAAGCUUCUUUCUUUGGGAUUUGCACUUGGCUGACCCAGGAGAAGUGCGGCUCUGGGGCCACACACUGCAGAGCCUGGUUUGUCUUGUUAACUUGUUGCUAGAUAAGACUUCACCAACCCAGCCGUAGUCCCCGGGCCUUUUCCACUCUCAAACACCAGCAAUCCCAUCAGGGUGUUUUGUUUUCUGGGAUGUAGUUCAUUUAAGGCUGGGCACUCAAAUACUGCAGACAAUAUAGCAUACAUUUACUAUCACCCUGCCUCACCCCCAUGCAAGCUUGGAGGAAUAGCAACAUUGUAUACCUCGGAGAACUACACUCAUUAUUUUGUAAUAACCUAUGAGGGAUAAGAAUCAGAAAAAGAAUACAUAUAUACACAUAUAUAACCAUAUAUAGCUCUCUGUCUCUCUCUCUAUGUAUCAACUGAAUCACUGUGCUAUACACCUGAAACUAAAUGAUGACACUGUAAAUCAACUGUACUUCAACUAAAAAAAUAAUUUAAAAAUAAAACAAAGUAGCAACAGAACUUUGUCUGCCUUCUCUGUUUGUGUGCCAGAGGCCAACUGAUAUUUGCUGAAUGAAGGGAUUUAAGUGGGGAACAGUUUCCUUAGAUCAUUUUGCUCCUUUUGGAGCUCAGGUCCUUAGGUGUUCUACCCUCCGCAGUCUAAAGAUUCUCCUGAAGAAGUGAGAACAAAAUGGAAGUUAAGCAUUUUGCUUUAUUUUAACAAUUGUUUAUUGUGCCCCUCCUAUGUAGUAUGGUAGAGGAUAAUGAGCAAAAGCCAAAUAUUAACCAAGGAGUUAUAUUAAUGGGGGCAUAAUUAUUAACAGCAAGAAGUGCACUAAGGAAAAGAAUAUUAUUCUAUGAUAAGAGUAUGAUGGAAGAGCCUUGAUCAGGGAGGGGCAUUAUAUCAAUUAACUUAUCUGAAGAAUCAGGAGAAAUUAACUAGUAAAAAGUAAAGGUGGGAUGGUGGAGUGGGACCAGCAUUCAAGAGACAAAGGCACUGCAGAAAAAAACAAUUUUAGCAGGAACCAGUGCAUCAGAGGCUAUAUUGAACCUAUGUCUCCUCUCUUCCUGCUUCAGACAUAACUAUAAGAAAUUACUUAUGUUGUCUUGAAGUUCCCUUCAUGGCUCGGUGGUUAACAAACUCAACUAGCAUCCAUGAGGAUGAGUGUUCAAUCCCUGGCCUCACACAGUGGGUUAAGGAUCCGUCAUUGCUGUGAGCUGUGGUGUAGGUCACAGACAUGGCUUGGGUCCCAUGUUGCUCUGGCUGUGGUGUAGGCCAGCAGCUGUAGCUCUAAUUAGACCCCUAGCCUGGGAACUUCCAUAUGCUGUGAGUGCGGCCCUGAAGAGCUAAAUAAAUAAAUAAAUUAAUUAAUUAAAUUACUUGUAUUGUCUUUACCCUCCUACUUUCCCCAAACUUCACAUUAUUAUGGGUUUUAGGACCCACUUUGUCUCCUGAAUAUUAAUUCUUCUGUCUUAAUGCUUUUUAAUUUUUUUAAUCAAAAAAAAAUUUUUGGCUGUGCUUGUGGCUUGCAGAAGUUCCUAGACCAGGCAUCAAACUCACACCACAGCAGUGACAACACCAGAUCCCUAACCUGCUGAGCCCCAAGGGAAUUCUUCUUAAUGUUUUUUUAAAGCUGAGCUCUUUGAUUUUGUGUUUUAUCUCCUUUCUCUUAAGAUGACAAUAUUAGUUUUUAAUAAUACUAUCAUAGUUACUUAUUUGCUUUAUCCAUAUAUAAUUAUAUACACAUAUAAAUAUGUAUACAUAUAUACAUAUAUAUAUAAAACAGAAUGACAAUAUUGCUAACA
rnacentral:lncRNA from 1 species